rnacentral:rRNA from 1 species
UACGUAGGUGGCAAGCGUUGUCCGGAUUUACUGGGCGUAAAGAGCGCGCAGGCGGUCGUGCAAGUCGCGUGUGAAAGCCCCCGGCUCAACUGGGGAGGGUCACGCGAUACUGUUCGACUCGAAGGCAGGAGAGGGAAGCAGAAUUCCCGGUGUAGUGGUGAAAUGCGUAGAUAUCGGGAGGAGUACCAGUGGCGAAGGCGGCUUCCUGGCCUGUUCUUGACGCUGAGGCGCGAAAGCUAGGGUAGCAAACGGG